CUUGUAGCAAGUAGUUUGUAAUUGAAUAAAUGAGGUAUGCCACUUUCUUUUCCUGUUGCAUUUUCAAAGAAAAACUGUGGAUGCUCCUGGAUGACUUUUAUGUAUUUGGGAAAGUAAUGAGGCAUAAUUCUAUUUGCCCUCCAAGAACUCACUGCCAAGAUUACAAAGUCUGGUGCCAAUUACGAUGUGGAGACCUGACUGCAGGAAAUGAUGUGACACUAGCUCAUUUCACCUGAGCUGACAGGAAACCACCAGACAGAAAGAACUCUCAGCUCAGGCUAUGUCCAG
rnacentral:lncRNA from 1 species